CAGGCUCCAUUCAGUCAGUGCAGAGCCUGAUGUGGGGCUUGAACUCACAAACUGUGAGAUGGUUACCUGAGUCCGAAAUCCAGAGUCAGAUGCUCAACCAACUGAGCCACCCAAGUGCCCCAGUACUUUUGGAAGUUUGAAACAAAGAGUCUGCAGGUCUGGGUAUGUAGUUCACUGAAAGUAGCAGCCUGAAAUAAGCCACUGUGUGUCGACAGUAUCCCUUGAACGCCUCACCAAUCACUGCUCUCAGAUUCAUUAAUAAACUUUUUUUUAAUAUACCUAUUUUUUAUUUUAGAGAGAGUGCAUGCGUGAAAGCAGAGUAGAGGGGCAGAGAGGGUGAGAGAGGAAUCUUAAGCAGGCUCCAUGCUCAGUGUGGAGCCCAACACAGAGCUAGAUCCCAUGACCCGGGGAUCAUGACCUUGAGCCGAAAUCAAGAGUUGGACGCUCAACCGACUGAGCCACACAGGCACCCCUCAGAUUUAUUAAUAAACUUUAAAAAAAUACAGCUGUCACCUAUAACAAGCUGCUGUGGUCUGAACAUUUGUGUCCUCCCCAAAUUCAUAUGUUGAAAUCUAAUCCCCAUGGUGAUGUCAUGAAAAAAAGUGAUGAGGUCACAAGGGUAGAAUCUUCAUGAAUGGGAUUAGUGCCUUUAUAUAAGAGACCCCAGACAGCUUGCUAGCCUCUUCUGCCAUGGGAAGCCACAAGAAGUCUGUGACCCAGAAGAGGGCCCUCGCUUGCCCACUCCGGCACCUGGAUCUUGGACCUCCAGCCUCCAGAACUGUGAGAACAGGCCCUGAGCUCCAGCAUUUUUGAAGAUACUCAUCAGGAGAUUAUGGAAUCAAUUUAGUGGGUCCUAACUAGCAUUAAAAAGGAAGGGAGAAGAAAGAAAGAAAGAAAGAAAGAAAGAAAGAAAGAAAGAAAGAGAAAGAGAAUAAAACAUUACAGAAAAUAUCAGAGUAUACUUUGUAAAAAUAAAUGAUUUGUAAAACUUUCAA